AUAUCUAAAGGGCUUCCGAGACGGUCAAGCGGCUUGACGUAAAGCACGUAGCUUUUGGCUUUAGUCAAGCCUUUUUU